rnacentral:tRNA from 1 species
UCCCAUGUGGCUCAGUUGGUAGAGCAUGGUGUUUGCAACGCCAGGGUUGUGGGUUCAUUUCCCACGGGGGAC